GGGCGCAUGCGCUGCCUGCUGAGUAGGGCGGUGGUAGGGUAAACCUGGCUGUGAUCCCCCCCUGCACAUUCCUCUCGCCUCUCCCCGUUGCGAGUGACACAUAACGCUGCGCGGGUGCGCGCGCGGCAGAUUCACCACGGCCUCCGUGUUGUAGAGACCCAGUGACGCAGCUGAACGUGCUAAAGACCUGCAGAAUGCUACAUCCUGCAGCAUCCCGGAGAGUAAGGUGUUGACCUUCCUCCUUUGCGGAGCUUAGCCACAAACCACUAAGCAGGCUAUAAUGUCAUAUGAGAACACAUCCCAGGAGUCUCUAUGAAGAGAACCGAAACCCCAUAACAUCAAGCCAAUCAAGUAGAGAAGAGAAGGACAUGGAACUAAUAAAGGCUGAAUGUCCAACAAUGUAGCUGCUACUGAGAACUAGCCCUUUCCAGAAUAUGAAACUCAUAGUGCUUCUUGCUUGUUCUCAGCCUAAACUUGUUAGCUGAGUUACUUUGUUUCUUCAGUGCAUUUUGGGCUGCUGACAUCGUAGGGAACGUAGCUAGAAUUGUAUAUGUGGAGGCCAAGUCACUAGGUUUGGAUGGUUCAGUGUUCACAUUACUAUCUCCACUGCCACAGUAACGGUGUUGGUGUUGUGUCUGUAGACACUGGGGAUUCCUUAGCCACCGAAUCUUGGCACCAACUUUAAAAAGUUCUCCAAAUAGUUUUUCAGCUUCCAUACGAGUUAUUCCUUCUGGCAGUUCAGUAAUUUCUAAGACUUUUCCAACAACUGAAACAAGAAAUAUGUAGAAUUAAAACUGGUCAUUACAUUUAACAAGGAUUCAAUCUUACAUAAAAUAGUGACCUUACAUUAGAUGUGAAAAUUAUGUUUGAUGUGAAAUUAACUCUGUUUAAACAAAAUACAUUCUGCUUCUCCUAUAUUUAAAAAAAUGUGGCACUGAACAUCAAAACUACUAAAGUUCCAACUGCGUUCAACUGGAGUUAAGCACGCAGGCUAAAAGAUAGUACAAGGUGCUGAAUAAUUAAUAAGGGUUUGUCUUAUAUGACCAUUUAAUUUGCAGCAAGCUGGAGUCUGAGUCUAUUCCACCCUGCUGUCCAUAGGGACCCUGCUGAUGCAUACUCUGCCGUUUCGAAGUAGGACAGACCAACACACAGUAACGGUUUGUGUGCAUCAGCAGGCUCCCUAAGGACAGUUCGUGUAGGGUAGAUUCACACCUCAGCUUGCUGCUAACUAAAUGUUCAUGCAGACAAGCCCUUACCCUAGUUCUGCAGCAGAACUGAGGACUUAAGACUAACACUUAGAUGAUUUAUUAAUGGGAUAAAAAAUAUGGUUGCAAUAAAAAUGUGGGACAGUGAGAACUGUGACUUGCUUCACACAACAGCUUUGGCUAUCUGCUCUCAUGGCGGAGACUUCCUAAGGAAAGCAACCCAGCUUCCUUCUGUAUUCAUUGAUACACAAAGAGAGUUGGGGGUGAUACACAAAACAUAAUUCUUUGCCAUCACAAUAAAAUCAUUUAUCUGAAGAUUUCAAAAUGAUUUAUAAAAAUUAAACCUCACUGCACCCAUUUCACAUAUAAACAAACUGAGGAGCUUAAAUGAUUUGUUCAAGGUGUCAGUCAGAACUAGUUCUAUACAUGUUGUCAAAGAGCAAAUCAUGCCAACUGGGGGAGGAGGAUGUUAGUUUCCCCCUUAUGCACCUGAUCUUGUCCAGUCAAAAUGAACUCUCCUCCAAAUCUCCUUUCAGGGCCUAGCUAGCAAGCCAACAAAGAAAUAGAUUUUGAUCAGUCCACGGAACACAGUCCUAGCAUUCUGGCCAUCCCCUUCCCCAUUUAUUGGGUAGCACUUGUUGCCUAUGGUCUGCACAGUGGAGAGAGGUUGUACCUUUGUUCCACCCCUCAUAUUUAUUGGCAACAAAUGCAGUGUUUUGAUUUACAUCAGGAAAAAACAAAGUAAAUCAGGAAUAAAUUUAGUUCAUGUAUUGCAUUCAUAGUUCUGGUAAACUAAGAGCAGUUAUGGAAGAAUUUUGUAUUAUAUUAAACAUGUCAUUUACAAAUAUUUUGGUAUUAACUUUUACAUUAAAUAAUCUGACUUA